UACGUAGGAGGCAAGCGUUAUCCGGAAUGACUGGGCGUAAAGGGUGCGUAGGUGGCUUGGCAAGUUGGUAGCGUAAUUCCGAGGCUCAACCUCGGCGCUACUACCAAAACUGUCGGGCUCGAGUGCAGGAGGGGUAAGUGGAAUUCCUAGUGUAGCGGUGGAAUGCGUAGAUAUUAGGAGGAACAUCGGUGGCGAAGGCGACUUACUGGACUGUAACUGACACUGAGGCACGAAAGCGUGGGGAGCAAACAGG
rnacentral:rRNA from 1 species